rnacentral:snRNA from 1 species
AUACUUACCUGGCAGGGGAGAUACCAUGAUCAUGAAGGUGGUUUUCCCAGGACAAGGCUUAUUCAUUGCACCCCGGAUGUGCUGACCCCUGCGAUUUUUCCCAAAUGCGGGAAACUUGACUGCAUAAUUUGUGGUAGUGGGGGACUGUGUUCACGCUCUCCCUUG